UGGGGAAUUUUGGACAAUGGGCGCAAGCCUGAUCCAGCCAUGCCGCGUGCGGGAAGAAGGCCUUCGGGUUGUAAACCGCUUUUGUCAGGGAAGAAACGCUCCGGGCUAAUACCCUGGAGUAAUGACGGUACCUGAAGAAUAAGCACCGGCUAACUACGUGCCAGCAGCCGCGGUAAUACGUAGGGUGCAAGCGUUAAUCGGAAUUACUGGGCGUAAAGCGUGCGCAGGCGGCUUUGCAAGACAGAUGUGAAAUCCCCGGGCUUAACCUGGGAACUGCAUUUGUGACUGCAUGGCUAGAGUGCGGCAGAGGGGGAUGGAAUUCCGCGUGUAGCAGUGAAAUGCGUAGAUAUGCGGAGGAACACCGAUGGCGAAGGCAAUCCCCUGGGCCUGCACUGACGCUCAUGCACGAAAGCGUGGGGAGCAAACA
rnacentral:rRNA from 1 species